GCCGCCUUAGCUCAGUUGGCUAGAGCACCGGCUUUGUAACCCGGAUGUCGUCGGUUCGAUUCCGACAGGCGGCU
rnacentral:tRNA from 1 species